rnacentral:rRNA from 1 species
ACGCUGGCGGCAGGCCUAACACAUGCAAGUCGAGCGGUAGAGAGAAGCUUGCUUCUCUUGAGAGCGGCGGACGGGUGAGUAAUGCCUAGGAAUCUGCCUGGUAGUGGGGGAUAACGUUCGGAAACGGACGCUAAUACCGCAUACGUCCUACGGGAGAAAGCAGGGGACCUUCGGGCCUUGCGCUAUCAGAUGAGCCUAGGUCGGAUUAGCUAGUUGGUGGGGUAAUGGCUCACCAAGGCGACGAUCCGUAACUGGUCUGAGAGGAUGAUCAGUCACACUGGAACUGAGACACGGUCCAGACUCCUACGGGAGGCAGCAGUGGGGAAUAUUGGACAAUGGGCGAAAGCCUGAUCCAGCCAUGCCGCGUGUGUGAAGAAGGUCUUCGGAUUGUAAAGCACUUUAAGUUGGGAGGAAGGGCAGUUACCUAAUACGUGAUUGUUUUGACGUUACCGACAGAAUAAGCACCGGCUAACUCUGUGCCAGCAGCCGCGGUAAUACAGAGGGUGCAAGCGUUAAUCGGAAUUACUGGGCGUAAAGCGCGCGUAGGUGGUUUGUUAAGUUGGAUGUGAAAUCCCCGGGCUCAACCUGGGAACUGCAUUCAAAACUGACUGACUAGAGUAUGGUAGAGGGUGGUGGAAUUUCCUGUGUAGCGGUGAAAUGCGUAGAUAUAGGAAGGAACACCAGUGGCGAAGGCGACCACCUGGACUAAUACUGACACUGAGGUGCGAAAGCGUGGGGAGCAAAC